GAUACAUCUCGGGAUAUUACAAAAUCCCGCGAUAGGACAGAUUAUCUCGCGAGAUAGUGGUCACGUCACGCGUUCUUCCGGAAGUUCACAUUCAAACACGAGGAGCGGUUACGAGGGAGUUUUGUCUAUAUAUUAUGCAAAAUCUACUGUUGGGAAAAGCAGAACCUCAUCCAAAUAAAAAUAAACAAGCUGUUAAAGGCACUGUGUCCUACACAGACCCUCCAAAAUAUAACCACCCAAAACCCAAGUCAGUUGAAGAUCAACACAAACCAAAUAAAGAUGCGCAUUCUACAAACGAUAAAAAAAGAUCAAGUUUUGUGUCCAACACACUUGGAUGAGACGUGCCCAACCCCUGACUUUGUCUACCCUACAUUAAGUUGCACACUUCAUGACAGUAAACAUCGGUAUCAAGAUGGUGUGAUUGAUCUAUACCCUAGAAUAACUGUGACACUAUGAGACGUACGUGCUACUGAUACUUUUGUUAUUUUUUUGGUGCAUUUCCACACUAUACAAACACAUUGCUUGGCUCCUAAGUGCAUACACUUUUGCCUUUAUAAUGUCAUUCUCAUUUUUAGGUAAAAAUGUAUUUCAUGAGUCAGGGUUUUGCCUGAAUGUCAACAUAAUAUCCCAAAACUUUGAUAUAAAAAGUGAUUUAUUUUAAUAUUUUACACUACUAUGUAUUUUUUAAAAUACAUUGUGCAUGUGUAUGUUUAUUGUA